AGGCUAAAACUCAAAGGAAUUGACGGGGACCCGCACAAGCGGUGGAGCAUGUGGUUUAAUUCGAAACAAAGCGAAAAACCUUACCAGGGUUUGACAUCCUAACUGCACGUUCGCCGAAAGGCGGAUUUCUUCGAGAGUGUUAGGACAGGUGCUGCAUGGCUGUCGUCAGCUUGUACCGUGAGGCGCACCCUUAAGUGGGUUAACAAGCGCAACCCCCAUCCCAUGUUAAAUAUCAUGGGAAACUGCCCGCUAAAAGCGAGGAGGAAGGCGGGGAUGACGUCAAGUCAGCACGGCCCUUAUGCCCUGGGCUACACACAUCCUACAAUGGGUGUAUAACAACGGGUUUGCAACUAGGUAACUGGAAGCUAAUCCUCCAAAAGCAUCCUCAGUUCGGAUUGAGGGCUGCAAUUCGCCCUCAUGAAGCUGAAAUCGCUAGUAAUCGCGGAUCAGCAGGCCGCGGUGAAUACGUUCUCGGGUCUUGUACACACCGCCCGUCAAGCCAACAAAGUCGGGGCAAAACCGGCGAUGGGGACUAAGUCGUUUGAUCAAUCUGAUCGUUGCGACCUUGGAGAGUAAUCUCCUCG
rfam:Microgenomates (Curtissbacteria) bacterium GW2011_GWC2_41_21 TT53_C0036, whole genome shotgun sequence.